rnacentral:lncRNA from 1 species
AAAAUUCUUGAGAAUAAAAGGACUGAUUAAUAUCAUGUAUCGACUAAUUCCCUCUCCCAAGGGUCAAGGAAUUUUUUUUUUACAACGCACACACAUCCGUCGACUAAUUACAGGGAAUGUCUACUGUUUAAUUUGCCCAUGUGAAUUCAAUCCUAAUCACAUGAUUAAAAAACAUAACAAAGGAGAGCAUUACGGCUUUCUCAUCUCCCAUCGAAUCAAUGAUUUUUUUUAUUUUUUUAUUUUUACAGAGUUUAUAUCUAACCUUU